AGAGUUUGAUCCUGGCUCAGGNUGAACGCUGACAGAAUGCUUAACACAUGCAAGUCGACUGGAAUUUUUCUUCGGAUGNAUAGUACGGUGGCGGACGGGUGAGUAACGCGUAAAGAAUUUGCCCUUCAGNCUGGGACAACUAACCGAAAGGUUAGCUAAUACCGGAUAUUAUGAGACCUUGGCAUCAAGGACUUAUGAAAGCUAUAUGCGCUGGAGGAGAACUUUGCGUCCCAUUAGGUAGUUGGUAGGGUAAUGGCCUACCAAGCCGACGAUGGGUAGCCGGCCUGAGAGGGUGAACGGCCACAAGGGGACUGAGACACGGCCCUUACUCCUACGGGAGGCAGCAGUGGGGAAUAUUGGACAAUGGACCAAAAGUCUGAUCCAGCAAUUCUGUGUGCACGAUGAAGGUCUUCGGAUUGUAAAGUGCUUUCAGGUGGGAAGAANAAAUGACGGUACCCCA
rnacentral:rRNA from 1 species